GCAUUCGUGGUGUAGUGGUCAGCGCGCUUGGCGCGUAUUCGAGAGGUCUGAGGUUCGAUCCCUGGCGAGGGCA
rnacentral:tRNA from 1 species